GUUAGGAGUACGGUUAGGCUUGGGAUAAGAGAACGGUUAGGAGUAGGGUAAGGGUUAGGAGCAGGGCUGCCAUUAGGAGGUGACAACCAUGAUGGUUGUCACGGGCCCGGCGGCCCUGGGGGCCACGCACUUAAGGCCACUUUAAAAAAAAAAAAAAAAAAGCCGCUGCAGCAAGUGCUGCUGGGAGGAAGUGGUCACUUCCUUCCAGCUCACUUGGC